CUCACUGCCAAAUCCUUCGUUGGUUGGAAACAACUUCUCAGUCUAACCGUCUCUGUUCUCCGAUUCAUGUGCAUGUAUCCAACUCUCUUUCACGAUUUCCAUCACCCUUGCCAAAAAUCACUUCCUUAUUUCCGUUUAACCGAAGCCCCACAACUAUUAUAUUCUCAGGAACUCUCUUCUUUGUUUUUGUUUAGCCUUAAUUCUGAAAUAUCCUAAGAAAUUUGCAGCACCAAAGCAGAAAAGAUCGAAAAUAGUAAAGCGAAUCUAACAACAUCUAAGAGUGAACACCAAUUGAAAGAGAAGUUUCAGAUAUAUCUGAUGGUGCUUAUUCUUUUUUUCCGUCCAAUUCUUCUUCCAUGGGUUGGAAAAGAAUAGAACCUUUGGCUUUGGUGUUGGCACAGACCAGAGAACUCACACGACAGAUUGAAAAGGAAUUCAAUGAGGCUGCACAUGGAGAGUUUACAUGAUUGGAGAUCUCUUUUGGUGUACUUGGAUUGUGAUGAAUACAUGAAGAAAGGAAAAAAGUAAAGGCUAAAGCAAGUAUUUAUUUUUCUACUCACUUUUGGCUGGUUAAUUUGCAUAUCCUUGAGCAUUUAGGUGUGAAUCUUAUUAUUGUUUUUUGCUGAAAAUAUGCAGAGUUGAUUGAUCGUUUUAUAGGUUCAAAAAUAUGGGUGAUAAUGAAAGGUGACAAGGAGCUUGUUGGUACUCUAAGAGGCUUUGAUGUGUAUGUCAACAUGUUUAGGUUUAGGUUGUUGAAAAUAUGUUGGAAGAAUUGGAGAAAAAACCAGUUGAAGUUAGUAUCGAGUAAAUUUAUUAUGGUGUAUUAUUGUCUUUCUCUGCUCUAAAUAGGACAAGUUUCAAGGGACAUGAGUGUAGAGAAGAACAAGAAUGUGGAUUCAAUUAUUUUCCAUGUGUUUGUUGUAAUUAGCUGGGAGGAACAAAAUUUUAAUGAUUUUGAAGAGUCUUGUUUAUAUAUACUGUAUAGAUUGGAUGUGUAGUUAAUAAUGUUUUUGGUUGAUUUAGAAUGAUAUUUUCUAUUGGGUUGUUUGUA